GGUGAGAUGGCUCAGCAGUUAAGAGCACUGGCUGCUCUUCCAGAGGACCUGGGUUCAAUUCCCAGUACCCCCA
rnacentral:tRNA from 1 species